rnacentral:rRNA from 1 species
CCUACGGGGGGCUGCAGUGGGGAAUAUUGGACAAUGGGGGGAACCCUGAUCCAGCCAUGCCGCGUGUGUGAAGAAGGCCCUCGGGUUGUAAAGCACUUUCAGUGAGGAAGAACGCCUGGUGGUUAAUACCCAUCAGGAAAGACAUCACUCACAGAAGAAGCACCGGCUAACUCCGUGCCAGCAGCCGCGGUAAUACGGAGGGUGCGAGCGUUAAUCGGAGUUACUGGGCGUAAAGCGCGCGUAGGUGGCUUGAUAAGCCGGUUGUGAAAGCCCCGGGCUCAACCUGGGAACGGCAUCCGGAACUGUCAAGCUAGAGUGCAGGAGAGGAAGGUAGAAUUCCCGGUGUAGCGGUGAAAUGCGUAGAGAUCGGGAGGAAUACCAGUGGCGAAGGCGGCCUUCUGGACUGACACUGACACUGAGGUGCGAAAGCGUGGGUAGCAAACAGGAUUAGAUACCCCAGUAGUC